GUGCUCACUUUGGCAGCACAUACACUAAAAUUGGAAUGAUACAGAGAUUAGCACGGCCCCUGAGCAAGGAUGACACACAAAUUCAUGAAUUGUUCCAUAUUUUU
rnacentral:snRNA from 1 species